AGCGGUGGUGCAUGUGGUUUAAUUCGACGCAACGCGAGGAACCUUACCUAGGCUUGACAUGUGGUGAGUAGCGAACCGAAAGGGGAGCGACCCGUCAAAUCGGGCCAUCACACAGGUGCUGCAUGGCUGUCGUCAGCUCGUGCCGUGAGGUGUUGGGUUCAGUCCCGCAACGAGCGCAACCCUCGCCCUUUGUUGCCAUCGGGUAAAGCCGGGCACUCUAAGGGGACUGCCAGCGACAAGUUGGAGAAGAGAGGAUGACGUCAAGUCAUCAUGGCCUUUAUGCCUAGGGCCACACACGUGCAACAAUGGCCGGUACAGACGGAGGCAAUGCCGAGAGGCGGAGCAAACCCGAGAAAACCGGUCCCAGUUCCGGAUUGAGGUCUGCAACNCGAACCUCAUGAAAGUCGGAAUCGCUAGUAA
rnacentral:rRNA from 1 species